rnacentral:rRNA from 1 species
AGUGAACGCUGGCGGUAGGCCUAACACAUGCAAGUCGAACGGCAGCACAGUAAGAGCUUGCUCUUACGGGUGGCGAGUGGCGGACGGGUGAGGAAUACAUCGGAAUCUACUUUUUCGUGGGGGAUAACGUAGGGAAACUUACGCUAAUACCGCAUACGACCUACGGGUGAAAGCAGGGGAUCUUCGGACCUUGCGCGAUUGAAUGAGCCGAUGUCGGAUUAGCUAGUUGGCGGGGUAAAGGCCCACCAAGGCGACGAUCCGUAGCUGGUCUGAGAGGAUGAUCAGCCACACUGGAACUGAGACACGGUCCAGACUCCUAAGGGAGGCAGCAGUGGGGAAUAUUGGACAAUGGGCGCAAGCCUGAUCCAGCCAUACCGCGUGGGUGAAGAAGGCCUUCGGGUUGUAAAGCCCUUUUGUUGGGAAAGAAAAGCAGCAGGUUAAUACCCCGCUGUCCUGACGGUACCCAAAGAAUAAGCACCGGCUAACUUCGUG